GUGACUGCGUACCUUUUGUAUAAUGGGUCAGCGACUUAUAUUCUGUAGCAAGGUUAACCGAAUAGGGGAGCCGAAGGGAAACCGAGUCUUAACUGGGCGUUAAGUUGCAGGGUAUAGACCCGAAACCCGGUGAUCUAGCCAUGGGCAGGUUGAAGGUUGGGUAACACUAACUGGAGGACCGAACCGACUAAUGUUGAAAAAUUAGCGGAUGACUUGUGGCUGGGGGUGAAAGGCCAAUCAAACCGGGAGAUAGCUGGUUCUCCCCGAAAGCUAUUUAGGUAGCGCCUCGUGAAUUCAUCUCCGGGGGUAGAGCACUGUUUCGGCAAGGGGGUCAUCCCGACUUACCAACCCGAUGCAAACUGCGAAUACCGGAGAAUGUUAUCACGGGAGACACACGGCGGGUGCUAACGUCCGUCGUGAAGAGGGAAACAACCCAGACCGCCAGCUAAGGUCCCAAAGUCAUGGUUAAGUGGGAAACGAUGUGGGAAGGCCCAGACAGCCAGGAUGUUGGCUUAGAAGCAGCCAUCAUUUAAAGAAAGCGUAAUAGCUCACUGGUCGAGUCGGCCUGCGCGGAAGAUGUAACGGGGCUAAACCAUGCACCGAAGCUGCGGCAGCGACGCUUAUGCGUUGUUGGGUAGGGGAGCGUUCUGUAAGCCUGCGAAGGUGUGCUGUGAGGCAUGCUGGAGGUAUCAGAAGUGCGAAUGCUGACAUAAGUAACGAUAAAGCGGGUGAAAAGCCCGCUCGCCGGAAGACCAAGGGUUCCUGUCCAACGUUAAUCGGGGCAGGGUGAGUCGACCCCUAAGGCGAGGCCGAAAGGCGUAGUCGAUGGGAAACAGGUUAAUAUUCCUGUACUUGGUGUUACUGCGAAGGGGGGACGGAGAAGGCUAUGUUGGCCGGGCGACGGUUGUCCCGGUUUAAGCGUGUAGGCUGGUUUUCCAGGCAAAUCCGGAAAAUCAAGGCUGAGGCGUGAUGACGAGGCACUACGGUGCUGAAGCAACAAAUGCCCUGCUUCCAGGAAAAGCCUCUAAGCAUCAGGUAACAUCAAAUCGUACCCCAAACCGACACAGGUGGUCAGGUAGAGAAUACCAAGGCGCUUGAGAGAACUCGGGUGAAGGAACUAGGCAAAAUGGUGCCGUAACUUCGGGAGAAGGCACGCUGAUAUGUAGGUGAGGUCCCUCGCGGAUGGAGCUGAAAUCAGUCGAAGAUACCAGCUGGCUGCAACUGUUUAUUAAAAACACAGCACUGUGCAAACACGAAAGUGGACGUAUACGGUGUGACGCCUGCCCGGUGCCGGAAGGUUAAUUGAUGGGGUUAGCGGUAACGCGAAGCUCUUGAUCGAAGCCCCGGUAAACGGCGGCCGUAACUAUAACGGUCCUAAGGUAGCGAAAUUCCUUGUCGGGUAAGUUCCGACCUGCACGAAUGGCGUAAUGAUGGCCAGGCUGUCUCCACCCGAGACUCAGUGAAAUUGAACUCGCUGUGAAGAUGCAGUGUACCCGCGGCAAGACGGAAAGACCCCGUGAACCUUUACUAUAGCUUGACACUGAACAUUGAGCCUUGAUGUGUAGGAUAGGUGGGAGGCUUAGAAGUGUGGACGCCAGUCUGCAUGGAGCCGACCUUGAAAUACCACCCUUUAAUGUUUGAUGUUCUAACGUUGGCCCCUAAUCGGGGUUGCGGACAGUGUCUGGUGGGUAGUUUGACUGGGGCGGUCUCCUCCUAAAGAGUAACGGAGGAGCACGAAGGUUGGCUAAUCCUGGUCGGACAUCAGGAGGUUAGUGCAAUGGCAUAAGCCAGCUUGACUGCGAGCGUGACGGCGCGAGCAGGUGCGAAAGCAGGUCAUAGUGAUCCGGUGGUUCUGAAUGGAAGGGCCAUCGCUCAACGGAUAAAAGGUACUCCGGGGA
rnacentral:rRNA from 1 species